rnacentral:rRNA from 1 species
GGGUAACCUGCCCAAGAGAUCGGGAUAACACCUGGAAACAGAUGCUAAUACCGGAUAACAACAGAUGAUGCCUAUCAACUGUUUAAAAGAUGGUUCUGCUAUCACUCUUGGAUGGACCUGCGGUGCAUUAGCUAGUUGGUAGGGUAACGGCCUACCAAGGCGAUGAUGCAUAGCCGAGUUGAGAGACUGAUCGGCCACAUUGGGACUGAGACACGGCCCAAACUCCUACGGGAGGCAGCAGC